GUGGCUCAGUGGUAGAGUGCUUGCCUGGCAUGCAUGAGGCCCUGGGUUCAAUUCCUCAGC
rnacentral:tRNA from 1 species